AGAAAAUCAAGGUCCACCAUUGUGAUCCAUUUUGAUCAUCUUUUAUGGCAGAGUGGUACAGUCGGUGGCCGGAGCUGAAAAAGACGUUCUCCUCCAUUUAUGUUCCAGAAUAUACAUAAUCCAUUUGCUUUCUUUGGCAUACAUCAUAUUUUAUGGAAAAAAAUAUUCUCCUCUGUUAAAAUGGACUCUAUGAACCAGUUAUUUUGACUUUAUUGGGGGUAGAAAGUAAGAAAAAAUUGUUUUCAAAAAUUAACAAUGAAAGUCCGUAUCUCCAUGGGACCAAGCUCGACUACAAGACUAGACAUGUCUAACGGGCCUCCUCUAAUUGGUGCAGACUCACGGCCACUGUCAUGUUCUAUAUUCCAGUUCAUCUUCUUCAUCUCAUUCUUGCCUUGAUUCGCCGAUAAGCUUGUUUCCUUGAUUGCCUUUAUCCUUUUUCCAGCAAACAUUUCCUUCAGUUGAACUUUGGUUAUUUUCGAAUAAUCAGCGUCUUCCCCAGCCUCGUAUAGAUGAGCCAAACGGAUAAGUACACCUCCGUUAUCCAACUCCUGGAGAGUAAUCAGUGCAACAUUAGGAGGUAAACUAUAAUUGGGAUUCAUGAUGGUGGCUUUGGUCAUAUGCGAAGCUUUCCAUUCUUCCUGAUUCUCAUGUGCAAAAGCUAAAAUAAGAGGUGAAUAAAUUUCUUGGCCAGUUGUUCUGCGCCAACGUGAACCAUCACUGUUUUUAUGAAUUCCCAGAUAGUAGUUCCCUCGAACCGUGAGUCCCUCACAUGUACUCCCCACACAGACAGGCUCAUCAAGGGCUUCACCCACUCCUCUACCAUCAUCAUUGAUCAAGCGCCUGUGCAACAUGAGUUCUAUUUCUCCAUCCUUUAUGCUGGCUCCACCUGUUGCACGAUCUACCAAAACAGACAAUUCUGAUUUGUUAUCUGUUAUGUACAUUCCAAGAUUUACUGGAUAAUAGUUCCCAGCAACAGGUUGAGUAACUUGGAGGUCCCAAUCAGCUCUGUAAUUUCUAACUCUUUUAAGAAAGUCCCUCCCAUUAGAGUCAGUGUAGAACACUUUAUCAGUGGCCAUAUUUGCUGUGAUUUUGGUAAUGACCUCUUUUCCAACACUAUCUUCUGUCGGUAUAGGACCAAUAGUGAAUUCGAGUUCAGCGUGUUCUUUGUCUUUGUAAAUCCUAAUUACCUGAGAUAUCCAUGAGUUGAAUUGCUGGUGGAUUUCAUCGACCAGGGGUCCACGCAUUACCUUUAUUGGAACUGAUCUCGCAACUAUGACUGGGGGUGAUCCAUCGGGUCUGAAAAUGUAGGCACCAGAAUCCUGAUCCAAGUUCGAACUCGAGGCAUACCAAAGAUAGCUUUGUUGUACAGGUAUAUCAACUCCUGUUAUAGAAUUAUAUAGACGUUUAAGUUGACCAGUACUUGAGGAAAAGGACGCCUUUAAGUUCCCUGGUCCAAUUUCAACAGUCUCGUUCAGUGGAAUGUCCAUCUUUGUGACAUAGCCCGCAGAGCUCCCCUUCUGUGAAGCUUUAGAAAUAAAAUAAGUAUUCCAGCCAAGAGGUGACACAGACACUCGAAAGAAGAGCCAAUAUUUGGGAGUUUGUUUGGGUGAUAUUCCAAGAUAUGCCUUAACAUACAACUUUCGUAAGUUGCUGGUAAUAUUAUCCAACUCUAUAAAUUGUGCCUCAAUUAGAUUUCCCAUGGAAUCUUUUACAAUAAGAUCAGCAUCGUUGACCGGGAUCUUGAUGAUAUCAGUUCGAUUCCAUCCAAGAGGAUUGUAUGCCACAACAACCAAAUUCUUCCCCUCAGUGAUGUCUUCUUCAGUUGGUGGACAAUAACUUAUAUUGAGCAGUUGACACUGGUUGAAUAAUGAUGAAGUGGUAGAACAUGGACCUGAUCUGGAAUUAACCAGGCAUGAUAAAGCAGAAUUCACCACAACUUCAGAUUCAGAAGCUCCAAUAGCCAAGCGUUUUGCAUAGUCAUCAGUUGUAUGUUGUUUAGCAGUACCAGUCACAGCAUCAUGGUGUUGUGUAACUCCCAGUGCAUCUCCUAAGCUAAACGUGUUGAAGCCAUUUGAUUUCCUCCCAGUUAAGAAUUCAAGCUGGCGAGCCGCCAGAUAAUAUCCACUUAGCAUACGAAUAUAUCGCUUUAAAGCUGGUCGACUGGUAAAGAAACCAGUCCAAUAAGAAUUUUCACCAUCUGCAUAUGGAAAGUAAUCAUCAGUUUUUAGAGGCCAAGAUUCAUUGGUUGCAUGUUUUGUAUCUACAUAAAUUGAUGGAGUAGAGUACAAUGCAUUCA
rnacentral:misc_RNA from 1 species